UACGUAGGGUGCAAGCGUUAAUCGGAAUUACUGGGCGUAAAGCGUGCGCAGGCGGUUGUGCAAGACAGAUGUGAAAUCCCCGGGCUUAACCUGGGAACUGCAUUUGUGACUGCACGGCUAGAGUGUGUCAGAGGGGGGUAGAAUUCCGCGUGUAGCAGUGAAAUGCGUAGAGAUGCGGAGGAACACCGAUGGCGAAGGCAGCCCCCUGGGCCAACACUGACGCUCAGGCACGAAAGCGUGGGGAGCAAACAGG
rnacentral:rRNA from 1 species